UGGCUUAGAGCUGUACGUCUCUGGUCUUUUUGAGCUUAAGUCCUUCACCUGAACCUUUGUACUGAGAGCCUUAGCACGCUUGGGGAACCUUUCAUCUGUGUUCUUUUGAUUCACAAAUAGCGCAGAGGUUAUAGGGUUACAAGCUAUUUUUGCUUCCUUUUGCAGAAAUUCUGUGAAGCAUUUGAAACUUGGAUAGUCACCUGAUGUGUCUAGCUCUUCCACCACGAUUCGGUUCCACUUUCUCACAAUCCAUUCGGGGAGUUUCUUUAACAACUUGUGGUUUUCUUCGGAAUCAUUUAGGAUGGCUAAUCCUUUUACGUGAGGAAUUGCCUCGACACAACCUUGUAGGAAAUCUGUGAAGUCUCGUAAUGCCAGUGGGUCAUUUGCUCCAAUUUUGGGCCAUCUCAUCAGCUUGUCUCGAAACGCUCUUUGGAUGACGAACGAGUUCCCGUACCUUUCCUGUAACGCUUUCCAGGCACCUUGAUACGCAUCCUCAGAAUUUCUGUAGAAAUAUCCCUCCACCGCUUUGCGAGCUUCCCCAGCAAGGUAAUUCUUCAGAUAGAACAUUUUUUCACCAGAAGGAAGAGGUUUUCGAUCAAUGAGGGCCAUGAAUGACAUCUUCCAAUCUAUGAAUUUUAAAGGGUCACCAACAAAGACAGUGGGUUCUGGAACUGGCAGCCGAUGUGUGCUUAGUGAGUUUGCUAUUGCUUGAGCUAGAUUUGCAGUUUCCUGAGGUGAUGUAACUUCAUAUCCUUCACAUGAUGCUUGCUGAGGUAGGAACGACUGUACUUCCGGGUUCAGUUGAGAUGUAAGCUCUGUCCUUUGGCAGCCAGCGUGAAUGCUAGGGCCUUCGUCAUCUUCACAGCGCUGAAGGUUGCCUUCCAAAUCGUUAUACACUUUGACACGAGCUGCUGCUACUUUAACUUCUUUGUCAACUUGUAGCUGUUGUAGCCGUUUCUUUUCCUCAACUAGCCUUAACUGCAUUUCAGCCUCCUUCUGCUUUAUCUCCGCUAACAUUCUCGAUUCACAAAGCUUCCAGUCAUGCUCCAUCUUAUCAAGCUUAGCUUGUUGAUUGUGAAUUUCUUGUAAAGCUUUAGCUUGUUCUAGUUUCGCUGCAAAUUCUGCCUGUGCAUCAGCACGCUUACUUGAGACUUUAGAAGUCUUUGAUUGGUUAUCGGAUCCCAGUGAUGACUCUGAAACGACUGUGUUUGUUACUGUACAUCCAAAGACGGAUCCAUAUUCAUCCUUAUUCAGCACCUGCCUUACUCUUUCCUUCACAAGUUCUUCGUUGUAACUUUCAUUAAAUGUUUCCAGUCGUUUACUGACAAGAUCAGUGAUCUCUGCAGUUAGUGCAG
ensembl:lncRNA